GGCACAUUAGGGAAACAACGCACAAUCAGUAGUGGGUGCCUGCCUUUCUGGAACGUUUGGAAGGUGGGAGGGGACGCUCAUCGCAGGAUGACACAAAUAAAUAUUUUUGGCUGCAUGGAACAGCAAAGAAGAACCCAAGAGUCUAUCCCCAACUCCUCACCUUGAUGGAUGAGGCGAAAGACCCACUCGUCUGAGGCUGAGGAGGGUCCUGAGACAGGGAGCUGUCACACAUUUUCUGGUUCAUUUCAGAUGACAAAGUUCCUCUUUCCAAAAAGUCCCAUCCCCCAAGAGUCCUUUCUGCUAAGACACCAUCCCUCCCACCUGAGAAGGGGGCUGUCCCACAGUGGCCCCCAGGGGCAGAGACAGGCUCUCUGAGCACAUGACUCCACUUACCUUCCAUGAGCCCCUAAGCU